CGUCAGGAUGAACGCUAGCGAAGGCCUAACACAUGCAAGCCGAGCGGUAUUGUUCUUCGGAAAUGAGAGAGCGGCGUACGGGUGCGGAACACGUGUGCAACCUACCUUUAUCUGGAGGAUAGCCUUUCGAAAGGAAGAUUAAUACUCCAUAAUAUAUUGAUUGGCAUCAGUUGAUAUUGAAAGCUCCGGCGGAUAAAGAUGGGCACGCGCAAGAUUAGCUAGUUGGUGAGGUAACGGCUCACCAAGGCGAUGAUCUUUAGGGGGCCUGAGAGGGUGAUCCCCACACUGGUACUGAGACACGGACCAGACUCCUACGGGAGGCAGCAGUGAGGAAUAUUGGUCAAUGGGUGCAAGCCUGAACCAGCCAUCCCGCGUGAAGGACGACUGCCUAUGGGUUGUAAACUUCUUUUGUAUAGGGAUAAACCUACUCUCGUGAGAGUAGCUGAAGGUACUAUACGAAUAAGCACCGGCUAACUCCGUG
rnacentral:rRNA from 1 species